rnacentral:rRNA from 1 species
UACAGAGGUCUCAAGCGUUGUUCGGAUUCAUUGGGCGUAAAGGGUGCGUAGGCGGCGCGGUAAGUCGGGUGUGAAAUCUUGGAGCUUAACUCCGAAACUGCAUUCGAUACUGCCGUGCUUGAGGACUGGAGAGGAGACUGGAAUUUACGGUGUAGCGGUGAAAUGCGUAGAUAUCGUAAGGAAGACCAGUGGCGAAGGCGGGUCUCUGGACAGUUCCUGACGCUGAGGCACGAAGGCCCAGGGGAGCAAAACGGG